GGGCCCGUGGCCUAGCAAGGCGAUGGCGGCCGGCUCCAGACCGGCAGGUCGAGGGUUCAAAUCCCUCCGGGCCCACCA
rnacentral:tRNA from 2 species